rnacentral:rRNA from 2 species
CAGUGAUAAACUGGAGGAAGGUGGGGAUGACGUCAAGUCAUCAUGGCCCUUACGACCAGGGCUACACACGUGCUACAAUGGCGCAUACAAAGAGAAGCGACCUCGCGAGAGCAAGCGGACCUCAUAAAGUGCGUCGUAGUCCGGAUUGGAGUCUGCAACUCGACUCCAUGAAGUCGGAAUCGCUAGUAAUCGUGGAUCAGAAUGCCACGGUGAAUACGUUCCCGGGCCUUGUACACACCGCCCGUCACACCAUGGGAGUGGGUUGCAAAAGAAGUAGGUAGCUU